CGCGUAUCCACUGGCCUGCUUCUCCCCACAAACCGUCACGUCACACACGGGCUGCCCCACACCUCACACUCGGAGCAGUACGCAGGGCACGUAUGACAAGUCACGUCCCACAGCCACAAAAACUCACAGACGAGGGUCCGGUCCUAGGCCGCCUGACGAGGCCAAAGUUGAGGGGUCGAAAGGCCGGGCUGCAGGCAUAACUGGAGCCAAGUACCGAACUACACAUCCCAGAAGCCACUGCUGCCGGAGUCCAAUCACAGCCCGGAUCCGUCUUCCCAGCAUCCCUUGGGCGACCGGCCCUUUAGAAUGGGCGGGCCGUGGCUCCUUCGCCUCUGGACCAUAUUUCCCAGAAGGGACUGCGGGUCCCUGUGGGUCUGGCGCCUCCGGGUUCCUCAGGCUGGGCCGGAGACUGAGCUCCAGGCGUCCGGGGCGGGACCCAUGCGGCGUCUCUGCGCCAUCUUGCGUCAGAGCGAUUGUCGCGUGUGAGGGCGAGCGGGAGGCCCUUCCGGUCCGCAGCGCGGGAGCUCCUUGGCCAACACGAUUGGGUAUCCCAAUGGGAGAAAAUGGAAAAAUUUAUAAACAAAGAUCCUGAGGACCCCAGCUUCCAAGAUGACUGGAAAUGUAAAGGCACAUUCAAGAGACAACAAAGAAAUAGGAAGGAAAUUCCAGUCAAGUCAUACUCACCCGUGAAGAAAUACCCACUUGGAGACAGCAAACAUCCCAUAACGUGCUUCAGAAAGUUCUAUCUGGAAGUAGGCCCUAUGUGUGUAUUGAAUUUACAAAAGGUUUUUGGCAGAAGAAAUCUCUUAAUCAUCAGAAAACUCAUACUAGUGAGGAAUAUUACAAAUGCAAGCAAUGUGGGAAGGACAUUCUGAUCUUCCUCAACAUCAAGGGAUUCAUACUGGGGAAAGACCCUGUGAAUGUAAAGAAUGUGGAAAGGGCUUUAGUUCUGUAUCACUCUUUACCCAACAACAGAGAAGUCAUGCUGGUGAGAAACUCUGUAAAUGUAGGGUUGUGGAAAAACCUUUAUUUGGCUCUCACAACUUAAUAUACAUCAUAGAACUCACAUUGGUGAAAAGACUUAUCAAUGUAUUGAAUGUAGAAAAGCUUUUAAAGGUCACUUAUCACUAAUUACUCAACAUCAAAGAAUUCAUGCUGGAGAAAAACCCUAUGAUGUAAGGAAUAUGGAAGGGCCUUUAGAGGUAUCACACGACUUAAGGAACAUUGAAGAAUCCAUACCAGUGAGAAGCCAUAUAAACGCAAUGAACAUGGAAAGGCCUUCAGUUGUCAUUCACAUCUUCCUCAACAUCAAAGAAAUCUUAUAAAUCUAAGGUUUGUGGGAAGGCCUUUAGACAGGGCUCACAGCUUAACCAUCAGCAGAGAAUUCAUACUGGUGAGAAACCACAUAAAUGUGAUGAACGUGGAAAAGACUUUGGUUGGAUUUCGCAAUUUAAUGUACAUAUUAGCAACCACAUUAGUGAGAACCUGUGUCAGUGUACUGAAUGUGGAAAAGCCUUUAGUCACUUAACAUUAGCUAUGCAACAUCAGAGAAUUCAUACUGGUGAGAAAUCCAAUGAAUGUAAGGCAUGUGGGAAAGCCUUUAUGAUUAUCUCAUACCUUAUCCAGCAUCAAAGAAUUCACACUGUUGAGAAAUCCUAUAAAUGCAGUGAAUGUGGAAAGGCCUUCAAUCAUCGUUCAUAUCUUCCUAAAUGUCAGAGAAUCCAUACUG
ensembl:lncRNA